GAUGAACGCUGGCGGCGUGCUUAACACAUGCAAGUCGAACGAUGAUCCGGUGCUUGCACCGGGGAUUAGUGGCGAACGGGUGAGUAACACGUGAGUAACCUGCCCUUAACUCUGGGAUAAGCCUGGGAAACUGGGUCUAAUACCGGAUAUGACUCCUCAUCGCAUGGUGGGGGGUGGAAAGCUUUUGUGGUUUUGGAUGGACUCGCGGCCUAUCAGCUUGUUGGUGAGGUAAUGGCUCACAAAGGCGACGACGGGUAGCCGGCCUGAGAGGGUGACCGGCCACACUGGGACUGAGACACGGCCCAGACUCCUACGGGAGGCAGCAGUGGGGAAUAUUGCACAAUGGGCGGAAGCCUGAUGCAGCGACGCCGCGUGAGGGAUGACGGCCUUCGGGUUGUAAACCUCUUUCAGUAGGGAAGAAGCGAGAGUGACGGUACCUGCAGAAGAAGCGCCGGCUAACUACGUGCCAGCAGCCGCCGUAA
rnacentral:rRNA from 1 species